rnacentral:rRNA from 1 species
AUGUCCGGCGAGACUGAGGUGGCAGUCGGAGGAGCCCGGCGAUGCUGGCUGGUCGGCCUGGGCAAGCUCGGCCCGAUGCAGAGGAGAGCCAUGGCGGCUGGCAGCGGGGGCGCCUACAUAGGGCGGGGGCCUGAGCCCCUGACGGCGACGCCGUCCGAGCAGCCGCCUUCCUGCCGGACCUCCUCGUUCCUCCCUGGCGUCCCUCUGCGCGCCGCCACCUUCAAGCACGGCCGCCGUUCGCCUCCUCACGGGAUCAAAUCGCCAUUGAACUCGAGCUCCUUCAAUUUUGGAAGGUUGACAAUGCCGAGGAGACUCUCCACAGUGCCCCUUGUGAAGGACCAGAUGAUUUUCUCCAGCUUGGGAGCAGAUCCACUGGCAAACUCUAUCUUGGUGAUAGAUGAACCGUCGACAAUAAGAAGGUUGAGCCUUGGGAACUCAUCUUUGUUGAACAAAAUCUCGUUUUCAACACAAGCUUUCUCCUUCAGCACUAGGCAGCGCAUAUACUGUAUCUUGGCAAACAUUUUUAGAUCAUCUUUGCUCAGUUUGGUACCACAAAGAGUCACCUUGGAAACUUUCUCGGCCUUGUCAAAUAAUGAAAGCUUAUUGUUGUUGUUCAACUCGACUUCCUUCAGUUCUGGAAGGUCUUCGACUCCAGAAAGAGAUUGUAUGAUAUCUGUGGAGCAUAAAAUGAUCUUCUCGAGCUUAAGGGCUGCUCCAUCUUCAAACAAGAUGUCAGUCAUGUUGGAUCCCUCAACAAGAAAGCACUUGAGAUUUUUGAAUUUGUCCUUCUUGAAGGUGAGCUUGCCAUUGGUGUAUGCUUUGUCCUGGAGCCUGAGACAAACAAUAUUGGGAAGCUCGUUGAGGACCCUUAGAUCAUCCUGCUUCAGUCGGGUUCCAGUUAGAGUUAUCUUCGCAAGUUGGAAUUCGUCACUAUGUUUGAUCAGCAGUUGA